rnacentral:rRNA from 1 species
UGAAAAGCAUGUGAUUGCAGAUUCAGUGAAUCAUCGAAUCUUUGAACGCACAUUGCGCCCGCCAGCAUUCUGGCGGGCAUGCCUGUUCGAGCGUCAUUUCAACCCUCAAGCUCUGCUUGGUGUUGGGGCUCUACGGUUGACGUAGGCCCUUAAAGGUAGUGGCGGACCCUCUCGGAGCCUCCUUUGCGUAGUAACAUUUCGUCUCGCAUUGGGAUUCGGAGGGACUCUAGCCGUAAAACCCCCAAUUUUACUAAGGUUGACCUCGGAUCAGGUAGGAAUACCCGCUGAACUUAAGCAUAUCAAUAAGCGGAGGAAA